rnacentral:rRNA from 1 species
AUAAGACAGCUGGAUGACUAGCCGGGCUGAAGACUCUGCUUAGACUAGCUGAGAGGAGGUGCAUGGCCGUCGUCAGUUCGUACUGUGAAGCAUCCUGUUAAGUCAGGCAACGAGCGAGACCCACGCCAACAGUUGCCAGCAUGUCCUCCGGGAUGAUGGGGACACUGUUGGGACCGCCUCUGCUAAAGAGGAGGAAGGAAUGGGCAACGGUAGGUCAGCAUGCCCCGAAUUAUCCGGGCUACACGCGGGCUACAAUGGUCAGGACAAUGGGUAUCGACACCGAGAGGUGGAGGCAAUCUCCUAAACCUGUCCUUAGUUCGGAUUGUGGGCUGCAACUCGCCCACAUGAAGCUGGAAUCCGUAGUAAUCGCGUUUCAAAAUAGCGCGGUGAAUAUGUCCCUGCUCCUU